UUUUUUUGAAGAUAAAAUAGAAACAGAUAUAUUUAAAAAAUCCAUAAUCAGAAUUCAAAAAUACGAAGUACAUUAUAGCAAUGAUAUAGAAUAGAAAUGACACAAGGAAUAAGCUGUAAUGUAUGUUCUCCAAAACCUACGGUAAUAUGUAAUUAGAGUAAAAUGGACGACAAAAAUAGUGGACUAAGCCCGAACAAUAGCCAGAGUUCAAACAGUCAGUGACCAUAGUUCGAUCACUUACUCUCUCUAGCACCAGGCGUGGUCUUAGCUAACGUUACUUAGGUCUUACUGGUGAUCAAGAAGCCUUCACUUUCUCUCCUCAGCUACCGUGAUGGGGCCCCUGCUGAUGUUUUUCACCAUUACGCCUUGGCGCUGAACCACCAAGAGGAAAUAGUGAUACCAUCACACUUUCUAAUAUAGAACACAUUGAUCUUAAUUUUAAUCACCCAAUCCAGCCCUUUUCUUCAAGUGUUUCUUGAAAUCCAUGAUGCCACCCUCCCAUCGUGUCACAGCCUGAUUUUCACAUACCCAUAUCUCAUGGGCCACCUGGUUUAUGAGCCUAAAGUCGUGACUCACUAGAACCAUCCCACCAUCCCAUGCGUUCAAGGCCUCUGCAAGUGAGUCAAUGGUUUCAAUAUCAAGAUGGUUGGUUGGCUCAUCCAACAGCAGCAUGUGGGGUUGCCUAAAAGCCAACCAUGCAAAAAUCACUCGACUACGUUGACCAUCUGACAAGUUCUUCAUUGCCAUUACUUGAGCUUUACCUGUGAGUCCAAACCUCCCAAUUGCUGCCCUCAUCUUCUCCUCCUCGUUCCCAGGGUACUCUCUCAUCAUAAACAAAAGAGCUGACACCUCCAUGUCUAGCUUCUCAGCCAAGUGCUGGUGGUACUGCGCAAUUUUUAGGUGAUUAUGCCGCUUAACCAUGCCAUCAGUGGGAAAUAAAUCCCCUAUCAUCAGCUUAAGCAGUGUGCUCUUUCCAGCUCCAUUAGGCCCCACAAGUGCUAUCCUGGAGUCGAGAUCUACACCAAAAUCAAGGUUCUUGUAGAUGAGGUUAUCAGGUGUGUAGCCAAAAGCAACUUCUGAAAACUGUAGAACUGGAGGAGGAAGUUUGCCGACAUCAGUAAACCGGAAAACCAGGACACUGUCCCUCCCCACCUUCUCAGUAAGCCCACCACGCUCCAUCUUAGCCAAUGUCUUCUCUUUACUCUGUGCUUGACGGGCUAGUUUAGCUGAACCGUGCCCAAAGCGAGCAAUGUAUUCCUUCAUUGCAGAAAUCUGCUCCUGCUCCCACUUGUACUGUUUCAUCUGGUUUUCUUCCAGCUCUGAACGGGUUUGCACAUAUUGGUCGUAGUUACCUGUAUAGAGUUUUAACUUCUUGUUUUGCAUGUGGAUGAUAUUGGUACACACACCAUUGAGAAAAUCCUGUGAGUGUGAAAUGACAACCAGAAUGCGCUCAAAGUUCUUCAAGGAUUCUUCUAACCACACACAGGCCUCUAGGUCAAGAUGGUUUGUUGGCUCAUCAAGCAACAAAAUUGUUGGAUUCAUAAAGAGGGCACGGGCAAGAGCAAUCCUCAUCCUCCAGCCACCGGAAAAAUCACGUGUUUUCUUUGCUUGCAUUUUCUUAUCAAAUCCAAGCCCAAACAAGAUUUCAGCAGCACGUUUCUCAGCAGUGGCAGCAUCCAUAGCUUCUAAACGCUCAUAGAUCCGUUCAAGUUGCUCUCCACCACCAUCGUCCUGUCCAGCCAAAGCUUCAGCUUCUUUCUCCAAUUGCAACCUCUCUUCAUCACAAUUAAUGACAGCCUCGAGAGAGGUCAUGUCAGAGGCUUCAAUCUCCCGAGAAAGAUGAAAAAUAUCCAUGUGGUCUGGGAUGGGAAGUUCCCUCAACCCUAUAGCAGUAAGAAGAGUAGACUUCCCGCAGCCAUUCAAUCCCAACAAACCAUAACGUCUGCCAUAGUUGAGCUCCAGUUCAGAAUCAACGAUGAGAUCAUGUCCGUGGAAAGUGACUGAUAAUGACUCUAUCCGAAUAUCCCUCGAUAGCGGAUGUGAACACAAAACACCCGUACAAGUCCGAUCAGAUAUCUGUAGAUCCCCUACUCCAUUCGUCAAAUUAUCAACCCCGUUACUUUCCACCGCCGAUUUAGACGCGGUUGCAGCCGAUUUAGGCGCUGCCGCACCUUUACCUCCUCUCCUAGCAGCUGCCGCCGCCUUCUUCUGCGCAUCUCUCUUCUUCGCCGCAUCCGACACCAUCUUUGAAAUCGUAAGAUCUACGGAUUUGGAGAAAUUUGUUAUAGAAGAGAGGAACGAGGGUUUUUUGAAAGAGCAU
rnacentral:misc_RNA from 1 species